rnacentral:rRNA from 1 species
GACGAACGCUGGCGGCGUGCCUAAUACAUGCAAGUCGAACGCAGUGGGGAUGGGUGAGUAACACGUGGGUAACCUCCCAUCAGAGGGGAUAACACUUGGAAACAGGUGCUAAACCGCUACUGAUGGAUGGACCCGCGGUGCAUUAGCUAGUUGGUGAGGUAACGGCUCACCAAGGCCACGAUGCAUAGCCGGCCGGAGAGGGUGAUCGGCCACACGGGAACUGAGACACGGCCCAGACUCCUACGGGAGGCAGCAGUGGGGAAUCUUCGACAAUGGACGAAAGUCUGACGGAGCAACGCCGCGUGUGUGAAGAAGGUUUUCGGGUCGUAAAACACUGUUGUUAGGGAAGCGGUAUCUAAACAGAAAGCCACGGCUAACUACGUGCCAGCAGCCGCGGUAAUUC